UACGAAGGGAUCUAGCGUUGUUCGGAUUUACUGGGCGUAAAGGGCGCGUAGGCGGUUAUGUAAGUAAGAUGUGAAAGCCCUGGGCUUAACCCGGGAACUGCAUUUUAAACUGCAUAGCUUGAGUGUUGGAGAGGUAAGUAGAAUUCCCAGUGUAGAGGUGAAAUUCGUAGAUAUUGGGAAGAAUACCAGUGGCGAAGGUGACUUACUGGACAACAACUGACGCUGAGGCGCGAAAGCGUGGGGAGCAAACAGG
rnacentral:rRNA from 1 species